CCGCUGUCAGAGAAAAGGCUCCCGAUGGGAAGAAUGCGGCCGCGGUAAUUAGCCCAGCGAUACAGAGACGCAUUCCGUGGCCCCGCGCUCAUGGGAGAGGGGCCGCCCAGGAUUCCGCCGUCAGCCCGGGUGUCACCCUGGGACACGGAAAGCGGCAUGGGGACUCGGGAACUCGCCGCCCCGGCGGCUUUCCGGAGAGGAUGGAGCAAAAUAGAUGCGCUCAGAAUAGCCGGGCCAGCCUCACCUCAGCCAGCGCUAAUCUCUUCCAGUCACUAGCUUAUCAAUACUGACGUGUAUCAAUAAAAACGACAGGCACUCGCCCCCAGGCAGUCGCGAUUAUUGAUUACUUUCAUCAACGUUGCUUGGCAUUGCCGGCAGGCUGUCAGAGAAACCCACCCGAGGUCACCUGGAGUCUUCCUUGGACCAGCACUUGGUACCGAGCAUUGGCCUCUUGCAGCCCUGCCGUUUCACAGCACCAUUCGGGCGGCUCGUGAAACAGGGUCUGAAGAGUGGAAAUGCGUUUUGUUAAGGGAAAGCAGAAGUAUGCUGCCCUAAAGCAUCUCAGAGACACUAAAGUCAUCACGCUGGCUGGCUGUAUUACGUUGCGUGGGAAGCAGGCCAAGCAAAAGUAACAUUAAGCUUCCUUUCUGUUAUGUCGGUGUAAGUGUAUAAGUGUUCCAGAAACGAUAUGAAAUUCCUGGAAAUCAUACAUGUUCUGACAUAAAAUGUUAUCUGUCAUCAAAAUUGAUGCUCCCAUUAAAGAACUGAACCCGACUAUUUAGGAAAUGCCCUCGCUGAUUUUCAUGCUGAAGCAACUUGACUACAGACUCUGUAGAGAUAAUGGCACUUGUAGAUAAAGUCCAUCCUCCUUCUCCAGACCAUUAACCCCUCAUUGUCAGACUCCUGCCAUCCUGAGCUCCUUAGAACAGUCUGCUCCUAAAUCAGAGAAAUUAGACGGUAAACGAUAGCUGUGACUUGAGCAGUUGGGGCUUCAGGAAACCCAAGACGGCUGCUAGGCUCCUCCUGGCUCCCUGGCAAACACUGCUUUUCAUUCGGGGGGUUAAAGCCUUCCUUUGCUGCAAGGCUAAGGAAUUUGUCCUCACAGAGACAAAUAAGCUGUUAGAAAUUGUGUUUUCCACUUAGGAUUAUGCUUUUCACAGUCUCCAGGGAUCAAGGUACCCCCUUCAUUGGGCAAAUCAUACUAAUAUUUACAAAAACCUCACAAACUUCUUAAAAUUAUCACGGUAACUGUGCUCCUCAGUUGUCAGGCAGAGUCAACAAAAGUCAUGGAGAAACUGGACUCAAGCGGAACUGAAAAUAAUUACAUGGGAUUGAAUGAACUGAUAAGCGUGGUUAUAAUUUUUAUGACUUUUUAUCUGAAUGUUACCGUUUUUUAAUCUUUGUUUUCCAAAUAAGGGAACCUUUCCCCCUUAAGCUAAUGAUGACUUACAGCAAUUUUGUAAAUUAUACCUUUGCAAAGUAGAAUUGAAGCAUGUAUCUUAUCUUUCCUCUCUCCCUGAUCCCUCCAGAAUUUGGGAACUCUUGGGUUCCCAGCAGCCUUUCCAGGUGAAUAAGGAAGGCUGCUUCCUGGCGAAUACAAGAACCUCAGGAUAUUUUGAAAUAUUCCUCAAGAGAGGAAUGCGCCUACCUCUGGAGGUGUUGCAGGAGGAAUCUAAUGACACGGCUUUCCUGAUCUUGAGAGGCCUUGCAAAAGUUCACUUUGAGAUCCCUUGUAUAAAGUUACAGUAAAACCAAAUUUAAAAGAACCUAUGUGA